CGUAGGUGGCAAGCGUUGUCCGGAAUUACUGGGCGUAAAGGGCGUGUAGGCGGCCUUUAAGUCAGACGUGAAUCCCUGGGCUUAACCCAGGAAUUGCGUUUGAACUGGAGGGCUUGAGGAUCGGAGAGGGCAGUGGAAUUCCCAGUGUAGCGGUGAAAUGCGUAGAUAUUGGGAGGAACACCAGUGGCGAAGGCGACUGCCUGGACGACACCUGACGCUGAGGCGCGAAAGCUAGGGAGCAAACGGGAUU
rnacentral:rRNA from 1 species